rnacentral:rRNA from 1 species
GACGAACGCUGGCGGCGUGCUUAACACAUGCAAGUCGUACGGUAAGGCCCUUUCGGGGGUACACGAGUGGCGAACGGGUGAAUAACACGUGAGUAACCUGCCCACAACUUUGGGAUAACGCUAGGAAACUGGUGCUAAUACUGGAUAUGUGCUCCUGCUGCAUGGUGGGGGUUGGAAAGCUCCGGCGGUUGUGGAUGGACUCGCGGCCUAUCAGCUUGUUGGUGGGGUAGUGGCCUACCAGGCGGCGACGGGUAGCCGGCCUGAGAGGGUGACCGGCCACAUUGGGACUGAGAUACGGCCCAGACUCCGACGGGAGGCAGCAGUGGGGAAUAUUGCACAAUGGGCGCAAGCCUGAUGCAGCAACGCCGCGUGCGGGAUGACGGCCUUCGGGUUGUAAACCGCUUUCAGCAGGGACGAAGCUUUUUGUGACGGUACCUGCAGAAGAAGCACCGGCUAACUACGUG